UUUAAAACCGCCCCUAUCAUUUUCCGUUUCUCUUUUAAUUUGGAUGAUGUAUUGCUGCAUAUAUGAGGAGUUUGUGGGUAAUGUAAAUGACAAACCCUAAUCUUUCUCCGCCGUUUAUCUCACGCCAUUGUCCUUCACCUCACUUCGCUGCCAGUUAUUUCCUCGCUAUCAUUCAUCCCCUCAUCGCUUCUCAUCUCCUCGCCGCUGCAAGAAACGCUAUUGUUGCUGCCUUCAUUGAGCUUCUAUCUAGUUCUCGAUCUGACUUCGAUUUGAAUAUUUGUUGCUGCCGCUUAAUUCACCGCCAUCGUUCAUCUCCCUGCCGCUGCUCAUCCCCUCGCGACACCUAUCAACAUCGUACCGCAGCCUUCAGUGAGCUUCUACGAUCUUGUUCUGGCUUCGAUCUGAAGGUUAGCCAUCGCUUAUCAUCUCCUUGCUGCUUUGUUUAUCACCUCGCCUCUGCAGGCAACAUUGUUACUGCCAUUAGCGAGCUUCUGCGAUUUGGUGCUGCCUUCUGUGUAACUUCCGCGAUUACGUCCUCGCUCUCACUGUCAAGAACUUCCUUGAGCACCGCCUCCAGACUCUCGUCUUCAAGUUCGGCGUGGCCAAGUCAAUCCACCACGCCAUGGUCCUCAUUCGCCAGUGCCACAUUGAUGUGCUACUCCAGCUUCAUCAAGAUUUGCCAAUAAUAACAAUAAUAAUGAUGCACUAGUUCCAGCAACUAAGAAUAUCAAUAGGCCUAGCAUGGUGGUGAAUGUGAAGGUCUUGAAGAAGCUCUUCUCUGUUAACAACUUUCAAAAGAAACCAAGAAGGAGAGUAAGAUAAUUAUCCUUUUCCUGUGGUGAUUUAUGUCAAUUAGGUAUAAAAUUGAUCUUUUAUUCAUGUAUAAAAUUUGAAAGGCUUUUAUUAGUCUUUAGUGAGGGGAUUAAUCCUUAUCACUAGAAAGCUAUGCCUCUUCAAAUGCAAUGUAAAUAUAAAUUAUAGGGAGAAUUUUUCUUUGAUUCAUUGUUACAUGUCACAUAUGUUCCUAUUGGUUCUGUUCCAAUCUCUUUUAGCCAAGCCAAUUAGAUGAAGUUUGAGGCUUUUAAAGUGGCACUAUAAUCUUCUUGUUUUGGUAGGGGAAGGAAAAUAAGCACAAUAAUGUAAUUUCCAUUAUUCAUUUUUUGUUCACUUAUAAGCGUUGAUUUCUCCAUCGGUUAUUUAUGGAUAGUUUCUUAGUAGCUUGUUGCGCUUUUCCUUUAUUCUCUCUUUUAAUUUUGCACUCAGUUACAUCUUGAUUUUCAUCUUGAACCAUAGCAAAUUUCAUUUUAAUGGUGAGAGUUGUUAAUGCUGUGCAGUUAGAGGAUGGCUGGCUACACUUUCUGUUUCUGGUUUUACAGCUAUAGCUGUAAGAAAGGCUGUGAAGUUAAUCACAUGCACAAAUUGCAAAAGCUUGUGACUUGUCAAAGUUAAUCACAUUUUUACUAAUUGCUACUACUAAUCACUUUUGAUUUCUCGUACUGAGUGCAUAUUAUUAGAUUAGAUUAGAGUGUUAGCUUUGUUCUGUGUAAAAGAGAAAAACCUGACACCACUUUUAUCUCUGUUCAGUGUUGUGACCACGUUCAAUUAACCUCAAAGUCAUGUUCCAUGACAAGGACAACCAUUGAUUCUCAGAACUGUGCCUUUUUAGUUUUUCACCCCUCACCUCACUGUUAUUUCUCUUUCACACUAAAAUACACCACAUGAUAUCACCCAUCAAAAAUGGAUUGCAAGUUUUGCAAUACCACUUCACUUCUUCACACGUAAGACUUGAUUGCAAUCAGAAAUGUAGAAGAAGUAAAUGCAGUGUCAGACAACUCAUUUAUUAUUACUAUGGAUAGAUAGAUUCAUUCAUUAAUUAAGCAAAGAAAAUUUUGAAUUCAAGCUUUCUUUGGUGACCAACACCAAACCCUUUUAUUUUUUCGUUACCAAACAUACCUUAAAUGGCUUUCUUUUUAUUUAGCUUAGUUAAAACUACAUAAUGAACUAGUUAUGUUGUGAAUUUGUUAUUCUUCUUUCAAUAUUGCAGGAUUUUACCUUACAGUUAAUCCAAAGAGUACCUCGAUUGCUUGGGAAAUAAUUAGAGUAUGCAUAUAUAUGAUGUGUAGCUUUAGAAAAUGAUGUGCUGCUCAUUUACUCUUUCUCACGUUCUGUUCUCCCUCCAUUUACUCAUUGAACGAAAAAUUGCAGGUUGUUAAAAAUGUUGCUUCUCAAUCAUUGGAAGUGAAGAAGCUCAUGUACUUGUACCUCCUUCAUUAUGCUGAAAAGCUGAUUUGAACCGCCUAAGUAGGAAUCAGACACCACUCUAUGAUUUGGAAGGUUUGAAAGGAUAAAUCAGCAUCCAAAUGCAGGAGGUUAUUCUUUCUCCAUAGGUAUUACAGAGGUUCUUAAUACAAACCUGUGAUAGAAUUAAGUGCCAAAGAUGUAGAGUACGUUUAUCAAAGGUAAGAUUAUUUAUAUGUCCGCAUUUAUUCCCUUUUCAAUCUUGCUAUUAGAAAUUCUUGUGAUUUAUCUUCUAUUUAAUUCUCUAACAAUUUAGACAAUAAUUGAUAUUGUGAUGGAGGUUAAAAGCUUUUUAAUGGAGACAUUAAUUGAGACAUUAAUUGAUAUUGAUCAAUAGUGAAUAAUAUUUAAUGGAUCCUACAAGUGUUUAUACAGUGUGUCAAAUCGGUGACAAGUACAAGGGUGUAUGCACAGCAGGAUUGUUUCUUCAAUUUGAUGAAAGUCAAACUUUGUUUCUUCCAUUUCAUUGAUCAUGGUUGACUGUCCAAUGUCCCUUUUACUUUUAAUAAAUAUAAAACAAUAUGAUAUUUCUCUGUUCUAACUAAGGUUUUAAUAUUUUAUAUUUAUAUGAUUAUAAUUCCUUAAGCAUACAGAUAUAUCUUGAUAGUGAACUUGAUUGCUGGCGGUGCAAGAUAUUUAAAUACCUUCAUCUCAGAGGUUGAACUUCCAAAGGGGUUAUGCUCCUCUUUUGUUUUGUUGUAUCGAUCAAUCACACUGAUUUCAUGCUGACAAAGUCAUCCAAAUUCAAAUUCUAUCAAUUUUGUGUUUCUGGUGACAAAUGUUCAAUAAAAGAAAAUAACAAAUUAUGCAGAAGUGCAUGUUGGAACACAAUAAUCUUAUAUCAGCAACUGCUGUCGCAGAAUAUAAAUUAGAGGCCAGAUUUGGCAUAGAUAUGUUUACUGGAGUAAUUUUAUUGCAAACUUGCAACACUUAUUCAUGCCAGGUUUUACUAAUGUUGAUUGCAAUAUAUUAAUUAUUUCGUUUCAUGUAUGAUAUGUUAAUAUUAGUCCUAAUAAAAUCUUUUAUUGAUUUGUGUUGUUAAUAUUAGUCCUAAUAAAACUGUCUCUGGCAUUUCAGGUACUUGAAAUAAUUCUACCAUCGUAUUUUUUAUUUUAUUCAGCACAUUAAUAAAUAACAUUUAAUUAAUUUGUAGUAAUUAUUCAUUUGUUUAUUUUUAUUUUAUUUUUGCAGGGGUUGAAUUAGUAUCGGUGGACAUGAAACCAUAGUAGUGAUCAAUGAUCAUCAUUGAAUCUACAAGCGAUCCAUUCUAUCAUCAUUCACAUUCACAUCUGACAUAGUACUAUGAUUUCUUCAUGGCUUGCUUAAUUGUAAGAUUAAGAAUUCUUGAGUACAUUAAGCCAAUAACCUCUCCACCAAUUUAUCUAUAGUUAGAUAUAAAACAGACAUGAAUGAUUGAUUCACUGACCAAUUUGGAGCAAGAAACAAAGAUGUUGGAGCAAGUUCUCGGGAUGAAACUCACACAAGAGACCAAGAAACUAUGGCAGGCUUGUUUUAAAGUCAAUUACAAAAGGAGGAAACUUUUGGCCUCCAAAUCUUAUUCAUCAUCACUUAGCUAAGCUACUUGUCUUGUAUAUUCAUAUUCUUAGUAAAAACAGCACUUAUUAGAUGAUUUGAAUAUAUUAUUAGAUAUUAACAUAGUUUAGGGAAGUGGAUGGUAGAGUUGACUGAUUAGUGUUUAUUGCAAUGCUUGUAUUUUGGUAAGUUUAGUAAGACAAGGUUUUGUAUAAGAGUUAUUACUUUUGAUUUUUAAUAAUAAAAAAUUAUGUAUUAUAUUAAUAUUUUAUU